ensembl:lncRNA
GUGGGGUAUGUUGGUGGGGACAGACGAGGAAGGAUGGCGAAGAAAGCGAGGGAAUAGUGUGAUCAUGUUCGAUCGUACAUUAAAGUUUGAGCACAAGCUCAUUGUGGAUUAAAAACUAAGUCUCAUCUUUAAGAUUCAAACAACACAGGUUGUAGAAAUGCAAAUGAUUGGUCAAGAGUAGAAGACCUACCCCUCUCCUGCCACUCCCGACGUCUUGGUCCAUAGGUCGCGUUCCGGGCGGAUGGUGGUGGAAGUUCGGCGUCGUCUGUGCAUCAAAACCUGCAUCCUGACCUGCCUGCCCCUUGGAUUCUCCUACCGCCUAGCCCUGCCUGUACUGUCGCUUUUGUGGACUGAUCACCCGGUAUUCCGACCUGCCUGCCUGUCCCUGGAUUCUCCUACCGUCUGCCCCUGCCUGUACUGUUGCCUUCGCGGACUGAUCACCCGGUAUCGUGACCUGCCUGCCUGCUUCUGGUUUUUCCUCUCUGCCGAGCCCUGCCUGUACCUUUGCCUACGUGGACUGAUCUCCUGAUUUCUGAACCUUACUGCCUGUCUCUACUGUUUUUGCUCCUGCCGGCUCCCCUGUACAUCAAAAUCGACAGUAGCGUUUCUGCAAUUGGAACCACACAGCCCCGUCCUCGGUGUUCAUUACAUACAUACACUCUACUGUGUCUCCAGGAUGUAUAUGAAGUUCCAUCCUUUCUUCUACACCACCACAGACUAGUAGGGGCCUGGUGAUAGAGGGGUGUUACAUACACUCCAGCAUGCUGAGGGACUACAACAAAAUGGUUCCAGUAAAAUAACUACAACCCCAAGAUGCAGCCAGACAAGAGGGAAUGGCUGAACGGGCAUACCAGGUGUAAACAGGUUAAUCAGAGCAUGUUAGGUGUGUUUUUUUAUUAGGAAGGUGGCACCAUGUUGCAUUUUGUUUAGCUCUUUAGUUGUUUUGUUAAAGAAAGAAAGCAAUGAUUUGUAUUUUGUUCUGAGUCACCUUUGUUUACUUGUUGGAAGAAAUAAAUGGACA